GUAAGUUAUCUGCUGCGAGUGACUGUGCGUCUUUGUCUGCUAUCUCUGUCCUGUGUGACUGCGGGCUGCUGCUCUGUGGUCCGGAGGCCUCGGGCCCUGCCUUUGUCUCUUCACACCCCCUUUGUACCAGCCCUGAGCUGCUCCUUUCACUGACCGUCAGCCUCCUCUCCCCGGGGGGAGUACAGCCCCAGGCUAGAACUGAACAGGUCUGAGGUCUGAAGAUGUCUGGAGGGGGAUUUCAGUCUGUGAACAACACUGCUGGCUCACAGUUUCUCUCUUCAGACAGUGGAAAAAAAACUAUUACUUUUUUGGAGGCUUCUGGGUGGAGGGCCUGUCGGACGAUCAGGGGGC